rnacentral:lncRNA from 1 species
AGAAAUCUAUGUUCAACCGCGUGUCGCGCCCUGUUUUCUCGCGAAAGCGGGUUUCGACGUCAUGAAAAAUCUUUUUUGGGGGGGGGGAGAUAGGGUGUUAAAAGAAGAAGAGUCGCCACCUAGUAUUUUUUUAAGGUGCGUUAGGAAACCUAUUUGCAAAUAACUAUGUUUGACUAGUCAACGCCACCAAAGAUCGGGUAAGGGCUCAAAUUACCUCAAAGAGAAGGUGUUAGGCACUCCUCGAGGUCCACAACUGCGGGUCCCGGCCAAACUUAAGACUAUGUGGAUUAUAAUUAGGCAAGAUAAACAAAGAGAGUAUGGGUCAAAUGAAUCUAUUAUAACAUGAGAGAAAUAAGGAUUACAAGGAUACAACUAUUAAGUCUAUGUUAAAUGACUAAUGUGUAAAGAAAAGAGGGGGGUCCUAAGUUUUUUAGCCUAAAGGAUCACCCUGUGCAACAUAAAUAAUACUUCGCAACUCCCUUGAGGUAGGAAAUUAUUCAUAUUAUUCAGCGGGCACAGACUAUUAUCUCCUGCUACCCGAUUACUAUGUUAAAGUUGUUUACCUAAAAGCGCUCUAAUUCAAUUCUAAGUCGUGCUCUAUGCGUACACUACCCGCCCCAUACCUAGGGUCCAGGAGGCAUUGGACCUCUAUUUAGGGCGGUUCUAGACUUAACUUAGGUUGCUCAAAAUAAUAAAACUAGGCGACAUACAAAAUAAGUUGGACUUCAAAUAUGGGCAAUUAAGGGCUCAAGUUAGCCUCCACACUUAGACAAUAAAUUCACGCAAAACAGGUUUUCAUGUUAGGCAGUUUCAGAAUUAAAAUCCUUAAGCCAUAUACGCGUGAUUUCUAGGUGACCUUGGAUUCAAACGCGCAUAUAUAACAUUAUUUCCUUUAGUGGCUUAGACGAGGAGGCAGUAGACCAUCUGCUGUUAACGCCGGUUUUAGAUACCAGUUUUAGAAGAGUGAUAUUGUCCUAUAGACAUGAUAUCUAAUAGUGGCAUAGUUAAACAAAUGAGAAUAGUUCUGGAAACCCAGCCUUGACAAGUAGAUAAACAAUAUUAAGCGAAUGACAGUAUCCUAUAGGUAGGAUCUCUAGCAAUUGACAAUCGAGCCUUGAUUUUAUAACACUUUACCUCUAUGAGCAGGUUACCUAGGCGGAGCAAUAACAAUAAUAGUAGCUAAUUGAUUAAUUAAGGUCCUAUAGACAUGAUUUCUAGGUGAAAAUCAAUAGAACAUAAGCUAGUGGGAUCUUAUAGGUAUGGUAUUUAAUGAAUAUGAAGCAGUUAUGCGGAUUGAGAGAAUGUUUAUUUCUUAUAGGUAUGUUGUCUAGUAACACAUAGCAGUAGAAUAAAAUAGAGUGUUUACACCCGUGCUUCGAUGAUAGACAAGUUAUGUGUGUGUGUGUGAGUUUCCUAAAGGCAUGGUUUCUACCAGUGGAAGCAAGUCAGGUAAAUCACAUGAACCCUAUGGGCAUGUUUUCUACCCUUGCAUGCAAAUAGUAGAUUAUACUCGUUCCCCAAAUUUCACUAACACCCCCAAUUAUUUAUUACAAAGUUAUUACAGACCCAAUGAUGAAUGUAGUUACAAAAUUAUAAAAGCACUAAUAGUAGGCCCGCAGCAGGCCCAAAAGGAAAUACCCAGCAUUGCCUGGGCCUUCAACAACUCUCAUAGCAUACCCAGAUUUCCAACAUGGAACUAUAUUCAUCAGCACAGCCCGGAAAUCAUAGAGGAAUUCAAGCCAAACCAAACAGCAAUAGAUUGACCAUAUUACCCAAACAUUAAAUCACUUAAACCAACCAAUUUACAUAUUCAGUAGAUAGAAUGAGGGGAGAACUGAGUGUUAGAGAUAGCUCAAGCCUCAGUAGUAAAGAGAGUGGCUAAAAGACCCCAAAUCCUAGUAUGUCAGAGUUCACAAGAGUCUCAAAUGGACCCCGAGCAGUGCUCACACUAGGGAGGUCAGUAGUAAGAGUCUUAGUGGCCUUGGCUUUUAGCCGGACAAGAAUGAUAGGUUCCGAAUAGCACAGGUACCAAAUAAGAGUCAGUGGACAAUGGUUAAGGGACAAAAAUUGAGGAAAUACACUUAUAGCUUAAAGUAGACAUAGCAUAAUUGAAAACAUAGAACGUACUAGUUAAGAAGGCCAACAAGACUUAGAAGUAGGUUCAACACUUAGCAAAAUAACGCAUUAACAUAAAUGUGUUGAAAGACUUAGGGGAGAAACAAGUUCGCAAGAUUAACAAGAUUAUCAUACAAAGGUGCAUAAUACCAAACAAGUCUAAGUAGGGCACUAACUUAAAAGGUUUAAAGCCUAAAGGUCCAAAUUAUGCUAAGGAUUCAUCACAAUAUCAUAAGACAACCAUGUUAACUUAUAUCAUGAAACAGAACAGUAUCAAACAUGGUAGGGAAACACAAAUUAAGAAUAGCUAUUCCAAAGGUCUCAAAUAAUCACUACGGCUGCAAACCAAAACAUGUUGGGGGACAUACUAACAGAAGACCAAGUCAUAGUUGAUAGUGAGGAUCUUAAGACACAUUAUAGGAGUUCAAAACAGAGUGAAAAUGCAAGCUCAAUGUCAAAUAGCAAAUGUAGACAUUCAGGUAUCAACAUUAGGCUAAUACGAACUUAACAUGGUCUAAAUCAUUCAAGCGAACCAUAUUCAAAUAACAUAUCUCAGAACUGGUAGCUUUAGGUGAAAUUAAAUACUAAAGAGGCUCAAAGCGAGUGUAAAGCUAACAAAGUUGUACACAAAAGUAGUUCAGAAACACAUUGAGCCAUGAAUUUCAGAAAUAAGAAUAUGCAACUCUUAAAAGACACACAAGAACGAAAUUGCAAAAGUCAAGUGACUUACCAGUUAAACGGAUAACAAUAAAGAAAAAAAUUCCACAGUAUUCUGAAUCAACAAAGAGCAAGAACCCAAAAUCUUAAUGCGUCAAAGUUCCCAAGGGCUUCAAAGGAACCCCGGAAAAUGCUCGCACCAAGAAAAUGUUGAAAAAUCGAAUCCCAAUGGCCUUGGCUUUCAGCCGGCAAGUACAGAACAAGAAAAUGAGGGAAUAACAGAACAAAUAGCUUCAAUUUUUUAGUGAAAUCUAACAAUUAAGGUAUAUUUCAAAGGGGAAUGGGGAAAGGUUUAUAUAGUAGUAGAAAUCCGGCAAAGAAAUAAGAAAUAUUGUAAAAUUAACAUAAAUAAGGAAAUAAUAUCAUGUAGAAUCAGCAAAAAGUCAGAUUAGAGAAAGAUUAAGUAAACCCUAAUUAAUCGGAAAUUGGCCGGAGAUCUUAGCUAAUCAGACCCAUAUAGCCUGGCCAUGAUGCAUAUGGACGAGAUAUCAUCCAGAUUUAAGCGAUUGAAGUUGAAUGGCCAGAAUCUGAGAGAUAGUACUUGCCAUGCUGAGGCAAGUACUAAGUGAUACCAUGAUCAUGCGGGUAGUACUAAGAUAACACAUAAAAGGCAAAAAAAUCAUGAAAAGAAUCUAUGGUUGAGACGAAUUUGGAGAAAAUUGAGAUGGCGGCUAGGAUUUCUAAGGAGAGGAGAAGAGAGGAUUCAAGGGCGGAAUAUGAGAGAAAAUGAUAGGGUUUUGGGGCGGGUUAGGUUAACUAAAACGGGAGAAUGGCUAUUGGUCGUUGAUCAUUUGAGAUUAACGGCUAGGAUUAGAGGGGAAGUGAGGUAGGUCACAGAACGGGUCCCGACCGGGUUAUACUAAAGGGGUCAUUUGGUCUUGUCCAGGGGGUUAGGCUAAGGAUACUAGGCGAAUUUUGGUUCAAAAAUUAGUUUAAAGUUGGGCUACUAUUUAAAAUAUACAAAAAUAAUUUAUAAAAACACUUGAUAAAUAAAUAAAAAUAUUUAUGUACUAAAAUAAUUAAAAAUAAUAACUUAGUAUUAUAAAAAUAUAAAAUACUAUUUUGACACAAAUAAUAUAUAUAAAAACAUUUAUGCAUGAGUAUAGGCUAUUACUACAAAAUUGUGCAAAUAGCUUAACAAAUGCUAAUGUAAUUAUAUAAAAUGAAGUAAAAUUAUUUAAAAUAUAUAUUAUAGGUGAAAAUAAUAAUUUUAGGUAACUAAGUCAUCACAAAAUAAUUUGAAGAAGUAAUUAAUAAUUAUUCAAGUAAUUUAAGUACAAGAAAAUCAAUUUAAAAGCUUUAAAAAUUAUGGAAAAUUAUAGAAAAUGCUCGUAUAGAUUUUCAAGCUAAAUAAUGAUGCAAAAAUGAUGUUUUUAAAGUAUAUAUAUACUAUUUUAGAAAAUAUGAGUGCCAAAUUGGGUAUCAACACCGCGUCGCAAAUAUAUUCUGCGAGUGGGGAAAAUUUUCACUACUCUCAUGGAAGCGGGCCGUUCGCCUCGACAAGUUAAUAGAUGCAUCUAUGGUUCGUAUCGUUCGACCCUCAGCAGUGCACAGUUUAUAUUUAUAUGUUGGAUCGGAUCGUACGACCUCGACAUGACUUGCGCAUGAUAAUUCUUUGGAACUAAUAAUAAUUGAUAUUGUUCCAUUGGCUUGAGAUACAAAUUGUUAAAUGAUAAAAAUAAAUUUGGAAAUAUGUAUUAGUAAAAGGAUUGUUUAUUAUUUUUGGCUAUUUAGUUUCCAGUUAUAUUAUGUAAUUCAUGCUUAAUUAUAACAUCGGUAUUUUAUUGUUCGCCCAUAGUAAGUGUCAGAGUCGACCCCACGUCACUACUUCUUCGAGGUUAGACGGGAUACUUACUGGGUACGUGAUUUACGUACUCAUACUACACUUGCUGCACAUUUUUGUAUAGGUACAUAUAUGUCUCGUGGCGUUGUGGGUGCAGAGGCAUGGUUAAUGCUGGGACUUAGGUGAUUGCAUUCCAUGUUACGAUUCGCAGUCAGCAGAGUCUCCUUCAGAGCUAUUUAUAUUUUUCCUGUCUAAUAUGUGUUCCGGACAGAUGUUGUAUUUUAUUUUACUCCUUAGUUGAUGUUCAUGCACUUGUGACACCAGAUUUUGGGGUAAUUAUGGAUUGUUCAGUAUUAUAAUUUUGAAAAUAUUAUCACCUACUCUAUAAAACUUUAUCUCUUAUUAUUUAAUUGAAGGAAAAAAUUUGAUUUCAAAAUACUAAAAUGAGUAAUCAAGUUAAUCAAUUAUCGUUAGCUUGUCCUACAACGGGUUAGGCGCCAUCACGACAUUUAACGGAUUUGAAUCGUGACAGAACUGAUUUCAAUAUCAUAACUAUUAUUUCUAAAGUUGUAAUACAUCCAGAAAACUAUCAAAGAGCUUAUAUUGAAUUACCUCCAAACAGCUUAAGGAGGAAACAUUAUGACCAAAUGAAGGCCAGCCACUCCACAGCUAAAUGCAGAAAAUCAGCAAAUACUCUCAGCAACUUAAGAACAGCAUAAUCAACCACCACUCAAAAUCCCACUAGAAUUGAAACAAAAACCAGUAGAAAAAAAAAGGAAAGAGAAGCAGCUUUGAAUUCUUUCUUUUUGUUAUAUUUUCUGUAUCUAGACUUGAACUUUUCAACUUCUUUAUUUUUUGAAAAAAAAAAAAAUUAGUGUGGGUGAGAAAAGUAGCGUGAGGUUUUUUUGUAGACUUUUGUGUGUGUGAAAGGGAAGUGUGAGGUCUCUUUUAUAGAGUGUAAGAGGAAAAGGGGAGGAUAAAAAGGAAUCUUGUCAGCUAAAAAUUAGGGGAGGGCGUCUAUUUUUUUUAACAGAAAAUAGACAGCUGUCAUAUUUUUUUAGCAGCUGUCCUUUUCUCUAUUUUUUUCAGCACCAUACCCUUUUUUAAAGUAACCUUUUUACCCCAACGUCUAACCUAAUUUCUGGUUUUCAUUACACUUUAACCUCUUUUCUGGAAGCUUCCUAAGUAACUACUCAGAUUCUCUAAUUUUGGUGUACUCUCUAGUCUACUCAAUUCUUGCAAAUUACUUUUCUUUUAACAUUCUAUAUUACCUCCAAACAUGCAGUCUUUUAUCCAAAUUUACGGCUCUUUUUUCCUUAUCACAAUUAAACUAAACAAAGCUAAACUAGCACUAGGAUAACAACACAAAGUAAACCUAAAUUAUCAACUAAUUAACGUAUUAAUUAGGAAAAUAGAUAAUUUAAACAAGCAACACGAUUAUCAAAUGAUUUCAGAUUCAACUAAAACAAAUAACCACUUAGAAAGUCAAAAUAAUUUUAAUUAUAAACCUAAGCAUGCUUGGAUUAACAGAAAUCACCAAUUAACCCAAUCACACACUCACAUGAAAGGCGUGUAUUUGAAAUACUAAUCUAAUCGGACAAUUAAACACACAGAAUGCAAUUGUAGUUCAAGGCAAGACAGUAGUGAUGCUACUUUAUUUUGCUAAAAUGAACUAACUUGAACAAUUACAAUUAACAUAAAAAUUAAUCUGAACUAACGACACAUUAAUGAGAAAAGAGCAGAGGAGAGAAAUACCUAUAGUGUUUGAAUGGGUUGUCAAAAGAAACGGAUUUCCGGCAAGCCGGAGAAAUUGCCACACAAACACUGGCCGGAUUUCUCCAUGCGAGAUAUUGUUCUAUGCAGCAAAUAUCUCCUACUGACCCGAUAAAAUGAAGCAGAACAAGGCGAGGAUGAGUUGUGCGACCCAAUGGAGCUUGACCAAGGUUCUGGUGGUCAUGAGAUCAGUAAAGUUCAUGCAAUCAUCAAGAGAAGUCAACUGGUGUAGGUUUCGAUCUCAAAUGAGCCAGAAUUAGGGACAAAUUAAAAAAGGGAAAACUUUAAGGUUUUUGCGAUUUCUUAGAUUUGAAAUUAAAGGAUUUUGGGGAGGUUUUCUGGGAAAAUUGGUAGGAGAUUUGGGAUUAGGAGGGGAAGGAGAUUGUAUGGUGAUAAAAUUGGGCCAUUUGGUAUGGUGCCGCCGCCAUAGGGUGAUUUUCGGCGGCGGUAUGUCAGGAGAAGGGUAAUAGAUUGAGAGAUGGGGGAAAUGAAGGGGUUCUAGGGUUUAGGGGACCAAUUCAGACAAUUAUAAGUGAUUGGGAUGGGGAGUUCCUGACCGUUGGAUGAAUCUCGA